GGAGAAAAGGUGAAGGGAGAUGCAGCUCCUGGAGAAAUUGUAAAAAGCCUUGCAAAGAGUUGUCGGAAGGACCGUUAUUCCUGCUGGGCAGCGAGAGGAGAGACCCUGCAACACACGCCACCUAUCUUUGUGGGGAGGGAUAAUUGGAGAGCACCAAACAUAUGGAUCAGGGGUGAGAUGGGCUCUUUUCCUGGCUCUGCUCUUCCUUGGAAGUAGCUGAAUGAGCAGAGAGACAGCGUGGACAAGUAACGCGUGGGACUGAACUUCGGGGAGGUUACAAGUUUUUCACCUUUUUCAAUGGGAGAACAGCAUCCACAGGACCCCGAACCUCUUCUCACACGGGGCAGUGAGCAACAAGCAUCCUCCAUCUGCUGUCCCGCACCGUGAGCUGGAGAUGCUUUUUCCUUCUCUUCUGGGAUCAGUGCUGAAGUUCGACCACAUUUCUUGGCUCAGUUGGCAGUGAUUAAAAUUCACGGCUCACUUUUGUUUAUAGUUGGUUGUUUACUUUGUUG